AGUGAAACAACUUUAUUGACGAUCCGGCAUAAAGGGGGGAAGGGGUAGGGGAAUUAAAGCGAGACACUAGCGUGCUCGACUGUCCCAGAGCAGCAACCUACUCUCGUCAAACCCGUGGGGGCGCCGCUUUCAGCCGCUGGCGUUCCAGGUUGCUAAGCACGUGCUGGACCACGUCUCUUUGGUUGCCUGGCUCUCGGCUGAUGAUCUUGCUGCUGAUGGCAGUUGGCAUUGCUUCUUCUUGGUUACCCGGCGGUGGCGCACAGUCCCAGAGGAGGUGUCUCUGGGUGGCUUGCGCCUUCUUGCAGUGUUGGCAUAUAUCCGUGGUGUAUACCUCCGGGCAAACGUGCUUUGCCCAGACGGGGGUCCAUAUGGCUUGCGGUGGGUAGAGGCGUCUGCUCGUUCUGUACCACUGCAGAACGUCGCCGUAGGUUGUGAUGGAAUACUCUUCGUCUUCGGCAUCAGGUCGUUGUGGCUCCGAGGAAUGCGUUGACGGAGACCCGCGGCUAGUU